rnacentral:rRNA from 1 species
GAUGAACGCUGGCGGCGUGCUUAACACAUGCAAGUCGAACGAAGCACUUUAACCUGAUUCUUCGGAUGGAGGUUUUUGUGACUGAGUGGCGGACGGGUGAGUAACGCGUGGGUAACCUGCCUCAUACAGGGGGAUAACAGUUAGAAAUGACUGCUAAUACGGCACAAGACCACAGAGCCGCAUUGCCCGGUGGGAAAAACUCCGGUGGUAUGAAUUGGACCCGCGUCUGAUUAGGUAGUUGGUGGGGUAACGGCAUACCAAGCCAACGAGCAGUAGCCGACCUGGGGGGCUGCCACACCGCAUUGGGACUGAGGCACGGCCCAAGCUCCUACGCAAGGCAGCGGUGGGGAAUAUUGCACAAUGAAGGAAGCCCUAAUGCAGCGGCGCCGCGUGAGCGAAGAAGUAUUUCGGAAUGUAAAGCUCUAUCAGCAGGGGAGAGAAUGACGGUACCUGACUAAGAAGCACCGGCUAACUACGUG